rnacentral:tRNA from 1 species
AAGGCUUUAGCUUAAUUAAAGUGCUUGAGUUGCAUUCAGGUGAUGUAGAUGAGAGUUUUACAGGUCUUG